CUUGGAAUGCUACUUGAAGUCUUUUCACUAAUAGAAACAGGUGUGGCAUAAAUGACACAAGGUGAUCCUUCUUUUGUAGCAUGUGUCACGGACACAAAAUAUAGACUUGAAAUCUAACAAGAAGUUCAAGAAGAAGUAGCAGAACUAGAUUAAACAGAUGAGUACAAGAACAACACCAGAAAGGUGAGCUAGAACUCCAAGAGAUGUGUUGUCGAGACUGAAGAACUCUUCAGCCUCGAUCCCUAUAUAUACUCCUACUUAGAAAGCUUCUCGAGCUACUUCUAUUAACUAGGAAGCUUCUAGAAGGUUCCAGAGGCUUCCUUUCUAGAAGGUUCUAGAACC
rnacentral:lncRNA from 1 species